AGUAGAGGGGCGGGAGGAGCUGGGUCCUCGGGAACCAAAGGGGACCUCAGCGGGGGCGGAGUGCGCAGCCUUGGCUGCUGGGAAAUGCCCAACUAGCCGCUGUGAGUGCCCACAGCGCGUCGUGGGGGCGUCCGUUCUGCAGCUCGGGUGACUCAGACGCCCUGCCAACCCCACCAGCUCCCGGCUUCUCGAACGCUCUUCUGAUCGCCCAGCGGGGAGACUUCAGGGCCUGCCUCGUCAGGCCAGAUUGCAGCCCGCGACCUUCCCGGAUCAACCAAGGGCGAGGCCUGUUGCCCAGCAAGGCUGCCACCUAACUGAGCCUCCCGGGGAACAGCCAUGACCAAAGCCCCGCGGGCCCAGGCGCGGGCACCUACCCCUACCCGCUCAGGCUUGUGGGAGCGCAGGGGCAGAGGCCGAGACGCUGGACUUUCAGCCCCACACCUCUGACAACCCGGGCACGUCUGCGGAGCCCGGGGGAACAAUCAGCGGGCUCUGCGUCCCGGGAGCUGGGGACACGCCUGCAAGGGCUUUCCGCCUGCACACAGUCAUUUGGAGAAAAUCAAGUGAGUGCACUUCUCCCCACAGAGGAUUCUGUAUGUUAUGUAACACACUCACACUGGGAUUCCUCAGGUUACCAUUUUGCCCCAACUCAGCCAGCACUUGGUUUUCUGGCGGGGGUGUCAGGAUGAUGCAAAUGGAGGUGGAAGCUUCAUUCCCUGGGGGCUUUUAUUCCCCUCCUUGAAGCCCCAGUUCAAGGCCCAGGAACAAAGGGGAAAGGUAACUGAUCUCUCUUUUGGUCUUUCUCUCCCCUCACUUCCACCCCUUCACCUGCAGGCCCUCCUCUUUGAUAAAUAGAGGAAAGCCCGUGGGAUCAGGUACAUAUGUAAAUACUGCUGACCUCGGCCGCCCCUCCUCACCGAAAAGCAGAAAGCCCGUUUCAGGUGCAGGCUGCUCCGUGCCUUUGAGUGUCCACCACUUCUAUUCCCCCAGACUGCUUGGGACUCAAGGCCACUCACUUAAUAUCCCUCUCUUGUUAAAAACAUUCAGGACAACUAUUAAAUAGUUAUUGGAAGAGUUAAAGACCUUCUUUCAGGAGUGAAACGUUUUUAAAGCUGUGCUUGGCAUACGUCUUUAAGGCGUACAAAGUAGAAUCAGUAGACUUGCCUGAGCGAUUUUGAAAUUUGAAAGAUUUCUCCCCAUGAAAUGGUAAUUUAAAAUAGUUCGUAGAUGUUGUUUUGUUCUAUGAUGGCUUUUUCACCAUUGUCACCUAAAGAUUCUCAAGACCAAGCUACUAAGACAUUUCUUUUCAUUUGGUUACUUUCUGGGUGAUACUGUGCUUUCUGAUUAGACCUAUUUAAUUUAUUUUUUUAACUCUGCAGGAGAGUUUUCAACCUUGGAAAUUGUGCAAUGUUCCAGCCGACUUAAUGGGCUUGCCUUAUGCGGAGAGGCAGUCCUGCAGGACAGAGCUAAUGUGUGGUCUCCCAGGAAGCUCAUCAGAACACCUCUUGUCCCUUUUCUUUAAAAGAAAAAAAAUUUAAAAAGUUUUUGCUUCCAUCUCAAUGUCCAUUCCAUUAUUUUGUAGCUACAAUAAAGAAACAUGGGCAGCAGUGAUCAUUCUUUUUGUCCUAUGUAAUCAUGUCUAGUGUUAGGAACUUACAAAGCCCCAGACAUACCUCAGGUGUAUUCUGCACUUUUCACAUUUAUUCACUGCUCACUGGGUCACACAGAUAAUUCACACUUGAUUCCACCUUCCUCUGGACAACUCUCCCUCAAACAACACCCCUCUAUCAACUUAUAGGGAAAGGAGAUUCACUUAGAGAAAACUUCUUGAAUUAAAGACCAGACUCAGUUUCGCCAGGUAACUGAUCCUGGCCAUACCGGUGACUAGGAAGUCAUCACCUAACACUCUACCUAGAUAUAAACUCUCAGGAAGGAGGCAGGCCGGUGGGGACAUUUCCACAGACAUUUCUAAAACUGUGGCAACUGAGUACAUUUUACAGAUACAAUUUUGGUACAUUC